CUGUAAUGGACAGAAAACAACUCAGCUACAUCAAAGUCAUAGACUCCAUCAAACCCUGGAGGACUGCUGGCAAGCCCUUUGUGUGCGACCGAUUCAGUCUCUGGGCUAGUUAGAGGAAAGGACAGAAGAAAAUGAAGCCCAAAACAGAUAAUCGCAGCUACUGUGUCCCUCCUGUUUCACUAACCAGCCAGUACAAAUCCAGGGUGCCUUGCUAGGUUUUGUCUACUGUAGCUUCUUUCCUUCAUCUGCCAUGAAAAACAUUCAGUCAAUGAGGAGUGUUGAUUUUUACUUCUUACAGUACCUUUUAAAAGCGGAGAGUAAUUAGACUGGUGUGACACAACUGUCCUACAUCUGCAGUCUCCCUUCCAUGCCUGUUGGGGAAUUGUUAUAAUUUUUAAUGUGAGCCAAAGUAUCUUACAUUUUAUAUAGCUCCUUUCAUCCUAAAGUGCUGCCCAAACUGUAUACAGAAUACUCCACUUUAAUGAUAUCACUUACUUGCAUAUCCUGCAUAUCCAUGAAAGGGUUCUUCACUGGUUCAGUUGGAUUCCUUGUGUUAUUCCACUUAGCUGUAUUCGCCUAGCUGUAUUCAGAACUGAGGUCCAAAUGCUGCUUGUUACAGUGUAAUCACUUUGGAUGACUGAACAAUCAGGAUACUAGUCAAACUGCACCUAUUUAUUCAUCAUGCUCUUAAAGACAUGACAGUUCAUAUGCAUGACAGAAUGGGUGAAACAGCUAUAUCUCCUGCUAGCACAGCAUCUUGCAUGUGCAGUGGAUGGCCAUAAAAAAAAGCCCUGCUACUGGUAUCACAGUCUGUAUAGACAUUCAAGCCCUCUCCUUACAUCACACACGUAUGCAUGGAACUUCCUGUCAUUCCACGUAAAUAUCUAGUGGAGGAACAAGACUUCCAUACUGCCAAGUGGAGCAAGAUACUAGAGCAGCUAUAGUGGCACAGCAAUUGGGAGUUCAAAUUUUAUUAGACCCAGGCUUAAAUCCUUAACUUUUUUUAAAGAUUGAUUGGUAUGUAUGUUGAGACUAAGAUAAAAGGAUUAUUUUUAAAAUGUAGAUCCAGGGAAUCUGAGUAUUUCUAAACGGGGGCACCAAAUCCUGAGGUUCUUGCUUAAAAUGUACUCAUUCCAGCAACACUCCCGUUGAAAUCAAGGAUCUCAGGAUUCAGCCUCUACCCCUAGAGCACUAAGAAUAUGCACAUCUUUUACAUUUUAAAAGUUGCAAUACAACCAUUACACAUUUAUUAUGUAUAAAUAAUAACAGUGAAUACCAGUACUAUUUGUAAUACCGGAAAUGGCCAAGUACAAGGGAGGAUGGAAGAUGAUAUGGCAAAAAAUAUGAUGCUUUCCCUGAAAAAGAACCUAAUGCACUUAAACUAUUUAGAGUAUUAAAAAUGAGUGCCUUUAGACAAGAUCAUAAUAUUGCAGUAGCAUUCAUGAUAAGCAAGGAGAUUUUAUUAACCCAUUUUCAAAACAAGGCAUGUGCUUCCAAGAAGAUUCUCUUUGAGCAUGCAGGGUCCCAGGAUAUCACCACAGCGCUUUUCACCAUUAAAAUCAAUGAGAGUUUUGUUACUGACUUCAGUGGGAAGAGGACAGAGCCAUGAAUGAAUAGCAAUAAAGAUCGUCAGAGUCAGACUGUA